UACGAAGGGUGCUAGCGUUGUUCGGAAUCACUGGGCGUAAAGCGCGCGUAGGCGGCGAAUCAAGUCAGAGGUGAAAUCCCCAGGCUCAACCUGGGAACUGCCUUUGAAACUGAUUUGCUUGAGUGUCGGAGGGGAUAGCGGAAUUGCUAAUGUAGAGGUGAAAUUCGUAGAUAUUAGCAGGAACACCGGUGGCGAAGGCGGCUAUCUGGACGACAACUGACGCUGAGGCGCGAAAGCGUGGGGAUCAAACAGG
rnacentral:rRNA from 1 species